ensembl:lncRNA
GGCAUAUGUAAUGCACCUGAGUGACUGGAAGGAGUGGAGCCAGGAUUCACUCCUUCCCUGACUUCAUUUAAGGGUUGUCAGUGGAGGAAAGGGUAUCUCAUUUGGAGAUCCCUGUCUAUCUGAAGCCUUCCAAAGCAAUCUUUUAGAUUCUGUGGAGAUGAUGAAGAUUUAGCGAUCUCCAUUAUUAGAAGAAAAUCUAUGAAGUAAUUUGUGUGCAUUGCUGACCAUCACAUGAAACGCCUUCCAAUAACAUGUUUAUGGUUCAGUAUUCAAAACAUCUGGAUGAAUCAAAUUCUAAGUAAACCUGCUUCUACUGCUUAUACAUAAAUGGAGCAAAUGUUGGUCAACCUAGGCAUUUGACUUUUAAGAAGGUUAAAGGAGACAAAGAUCUCAGAGGUAAAUUUUGGUGAUAUGACAGUAGAGGUUGAACCUUCCCACCAGUAUUCCAUUACAUUUCAUUGCUGUGUGACAGAUGGCACGGGAGGGGCACUCUGACAAAAUGGCACCUGACAUGGAAGUGUAGAUGAAGUAAAGGGAAGAAUUCUAUGUAGCUACAAGAAAGGACUUCAAGAAACUGUUGCUUUUGCAUUGAAUUUGUACCUAAGUGGCUCAUGUUUUUAGCUACCUAGAUCUGUGGUACAGAUACUAUAAACAUGCAGCCAUCUUUCUCAUAGGUUUCUAGUCUAUACCAUUCAUUUUCUGCUGGACUCCCAGAAGUAGGAACUGUGAGUAGGAAGGCUGUAGCAGCAUCCUCUCACUUCCGCAGCUGUUCCAAUGCUCCAACUAAAUGCUAAGUUGGUGAAGUAUGAACUGUAGUCUAAUAAACUAGUUACCUAUCAAAGCAUAUGAACUUCUACCAGCUUUCUGAAGAAGCAUGUAAACUUCCACAGGGACAAUUUAAAUUCAUUGUUAUAGCUUAAGUUAAAUUAACCAAUUCUAUUUACAGUAAAGGACUGGGUAAACAGUGCACACAAAGUUUGAGUUGUCUGUAUUUCACUGGUACUAAGGAGGCAAUUUUUAUUUGCAGGUGAGUAGUAUAACUACUACUAUUUUUCACGAUAUUGAAUUAGUGCUACAAAAGAAAAAGGAUCCUGCUGAUUUGGAUGAUGGAUUGGUGUUUAAGAUCUUUUGGAAAGAUAAAGAGUAAAGAAAUAUAAUGAGUUAG